GGUGCAUAUGAUGGUACUAGCGAUCAAAGUAUGACAAAACAUGAUUCCAGCUUUAUAUAUCACUGAUGCACC